rnacentral:lncRNA from 1 species
AGCAACCGGGUUGCGAACCAUGUUCUAUCCCGACUAAGUGGCCGUCCUGGGAGUUAUAGUGCCACUAGCCGGCCUCGGCUGUUCCCUGUCCGAGGCUCUUGUCAUUUCCGCUUAUUUCCUCCACGGGUGCCGAUUUCAUGUGUGUGUUCCCGAGUGCCUGAGCCGGCUCCCGAAAUGAGUACUCGUGGUUUCCGCGUGGGAACCAACCUCGAGCGCCAGUGGCCCGCCCUCUCCGGGCUGAGGUGGCUGCUGAGGCUGGGGCUGCUCCUGAGGCUUCAGGGCCGCCCGCUGCACGGCUUUCUACCUUCCCAGGUUAGCCGCGGUCAACUUCUGCCAGGCGGAGCGAGAAAUCGCAUUUUGUCAGAUUAGUUGUCCAGUUCAGACAAACCAGAUCCCCUGUCAGAUUCCUCCAUAGAACUUCUUUACAAAACCACUUCUUGGCAUCAUAAUUGGUGGCAUUUUCCCCUUCGGCUGUAUUUUUAUUCAACUCUUUUUCAUUCUGAACAGUAUUUGAGACAGUUGGAUUUUUUUCCUGUUUCUGGUUAAUUGCUAAAAUCUACAGUGUGCUGAAGGUGGAGUAAAGUAUUUCCCCAAAGGAUUCCAAGCACAUCUCCCUUGCCCUUGAAUAUCUGUAUAUCUAUAUGAACAUCAAUUGAGAUAUAUAUGUGUGUGCCCCUAAUUACAUAAUUUUAAGCAUAUAUAUAAAAAUGUAAAAUCUCAUUGUCUGGCCUCAGUUUGUAUGACACAAAAUACUGAUUGUAUGGAAGAAAACAGAUUGGGAAACAGAUUUAUUCUAUAUCAUAUUUUCCUGAAAAGCUACCUUAAAAAGAUUUAAAUUAAAGCAAUUAGAGCAAGGGAGGCACAUUUCUUUAAAAAAUUAAAGUUGAGUACCAUACUGGUUUUUCAGAUGAAAUUUUCUUUUCCUUUUUCUCCUUCAUAUUGCUCAGAGCAUCUAAUUCCAUCAGAACUAUUGUCAAAUAAAUUUUAUGUAAAAUGUGUAUUUUUCUAAUGGGAGUUGAUUAUACAAACUGUAUUACACCUUUGUAUCUGAGUGAUCAUUUAAAAAUGCAUAUUGGUUUAGCACAUAGAGUUUAUGAAAUGCCAGAUAAUGCUCUUAUUCCUCAGUGAAAUCUGCACAUUUCUAGUUGUUGGUGGUCUAUUUCUGUUUGCUGUUCCUUGGAGGGGGGCUGAGAAUGUUCAAGUUUGACUUAGCUGUGUUUAAGUAAUAAAUCUUUGGAGUCAA